GUAGGUGGCAAGCGUUGUCCGGAAUUAUUGGGCGUAAAGCGCGCGCAGGCGGUCCUUUAAGUCUGAUGUGAAAGCCCACGGCUCAACCGUGGAGGGUCAUUGGAAACUGGGGGACUUGAGUACAGAAGAGGAAAGCGGAAUUCCAAGUGUAGCGGUGAAAUGCGUAGAGAUUUGGAGGAACACCAGUGGCGAAGGCGGCUUUCUGGUCUGUAACUGACGCUGAGGCGCGAAAGCGUGGGGAGCAAACAGGGAUUAGAUACCCUGGUAGUCCACGCCGUGAACGAUGAGUGCUAAGUGUUAGGGGGUUUCCGCCCCCUUAGUGCUGCAGCUAACGCAUUAAGCACUCCGCCUGGGGAGUACGGCCGCAAGGCUG
rnacentral:rRNA from 1 species